UACGGAGGGAGCUAGCGUUGUUCGGAAUUACUGGGCGUAAAGGGCUCGUAGGCGGCCAACUAAGUCAUACGUGAAAUCCCUCGGCUUAACCGGGGAACUGCGUCUGAUACUGGAUGGCUUGAGUUCGGGAGAGGGAUGCGGAAUUCCAGGUGUAGCGGUGAAAUGCGUAGAUAUCUGGAGGAACACCGGUGGCGAAGGCGGCAUCCUGGACCGAUACUGACGCUGAGGAGCGAAAGCCAGGGGAGCGAACAGG
rnacentral:rRNA from 1 species